UGAAGCAGUUGCAAAAUUGCAAUACUAAUACGACCAUUGACAAUAAUAUUAUAUGAAUGAAGUGAUGCGUGUGUGAAGCUUCAGAUUUCUCUGGAGUUCUUUUUGUCUCUUGUGAGCAACUUUGACACAAAAUUGAAUGGCUUAAAUCUAAUUAGGAGGAUGAGGAAUUUAUCUAGUGGUUCAAGAAGGUGAGUGUUGUGCUCUGAGUAUUGACUAUGGGGCUUGGCCCUUCCAGACAAUUCCUGCUUUGGAGCUCCCACUCUGUGCCCCUCCCCUCUCCUUCCUCUAAAUCCCUUUCUGAGGGUUGUCAAGGUUUCCACUGGGGAGGGGUACCCAUACUCCUCUCACUUAGAGGCUCUGUGAUCAUCCUUCACCGCUCAUCCAGGUUGUGAUGGUUAAUUUUGUGUGUCAACGUCGCUAGGCUAUGGUGCCCAGUUGUUUGGUCAUGGAUGCUGCUGUGAAAGUAUUUUUUUUUUCAUAUGAUUAACAUUUAAAUCAGUAGACUUUGAGUAAAGCAGGUUACCCUUCAUAACGUGGUGGGCCUUAUCCAAUCAACUGAAAGCCUUAAGAGAAAAGACUCAGGUCCCUUGAAGAGGAAGGAAUUCUGCCUCCAGACUCAAGACAUCAGCUUCUUGCUGGAGUUGCCAGCCUGCCCCCUGGAUUUUGGAUUUGCCAGCCUCCACAAUCAUGUGAACCAAUUCCUUAAAAUCUCUCUCUCUUUCCCCGACUUUCUCCUCUUCUCUCUGUCCACACACACACACACACACACACACACACACACUUUAUUGGUUCUGUUUCUGUGGAGAACCCUGACUAGAACACUGGUUAUCUCAAACCUCAGACAAAAUGGUUGGGGAUCUCUGCUGUGUCUCCAGUAGUGGCAUAUCGGGGUGAGAAGAAGAUUGUCAUCAUCUGGGCAGAAGACGAAUGGAGCAGGAGGAGCCCUGCACAGGGAGUGGGUGCAGGAAAUGGUGUGUAAGAACCUGUCUCCCCUCCCACUCGGAACUUGGCCAGUGGUUACCAGCAGGUAAGACCUUUGUUUGGUUUGGAACCAGAGUGUCCUCCUGGGCCAGGAGCAGCCUAACACGCCCUGCUCUGGCGAAAGGGGAAGAGGCUCUCUGUGACCCUCACAUGCCUCCAGGGCUCCUUGACUUCUGGUUCCUGUCAGUGGCUCUCAGGUGAGACAGGCUGUGUACACAACAGGUGGCUCACGUUUGGGAAGCACUUCCCCUCAGCAGCUAGAGAAGGUGGUGUUUCCCAGAAGCUCAUUGUUCUCAUUGCUUAAAGAGUAAAGGUCAAGCCACUUGUUAAAAGAGGCAGUUUAGGAUUUUCUCAGCUCCUCCUCCUUAAUUCCUCUUUCGUCUAUCCCUCCCCGGGAGGAGACUUUGGUAAAAUAGAGAAAAACUGAGAAUAUUGAGGACCAUAAUAAUGCAUUGAAGUUAUGCUAUGAGACAGUCAGUAUAAGCUACAGAAAAGUUUAUUUGCCAAGGACACUCCAUUCUGGGAUUAAAAGGCUCCUCCAACGAUGCCCAGUAAGGUUCUGCCACUGUCCUUCCAGGAAGGAGUUGGACCCUGUGAGGUGGACAGACCAAGUGGGAAAAGACCAAGCGGAUAGUGGAGGAAGAGAAGAGAGAUCGGAAAGUGAAGAGACCCCAGCUACAGAGAUUUGGAAAAAUGGAGCCAACUGUUUGUAGUGAGCUGAUCUGGAAGAUCAUUGAAGGGGCUGGGAGGUGAAUUCAAGAGCAAGAAUGGAUUAGGCCUCUUGAGCCAAAAGCCUGUCUAGGUUCUGUGAGCAGUUGCCCAGCAGCCUUCAACAAUGCAAAAAGUGGAUUCUCAUUACUUGAAGGCCAAGACUUCUGGCUAGAAUAGCCACACACGAUAACAGCCAGUCCCCAUGACUCUUUUUUUUGAGGACUGCCCUCAGGUCGCUGGGACCCACCUUACAUGCAUGUACAAAGAGCUGGAAGUGCCUGGAAAUCUGUGCCCCACGGGAGAGUGACCCUUAGCCGAUGACUGAUGGGAAUGCUAGUAUAAAGCUCUAGCACCCUUGGCCUGGGUUGGAACAACUCUGAAGCCUAAUGUAUUCUCCGGAGUUCCCCUACAGGAUCAUGCUGAAGCUGUCCUCUGUGGGACUUUGCCUGAGAUGGCGCCUAUGGAGGUGGAAUGUAGGUCCCUGCCCCAUGAAUCUGGUGGACUCUGUGACUGCUUCACACAUAAAGUAUGGCUGAACUGAUAUUGCGUCAGUUUCCAGACUCAGGCCUUAAGAGACUAGCAGCUUCCGCCUUUGGAUCACUCCUUUUAGGAGCCCUGAGCGACCAUGUAAGAAGUGCAAAUAUCCUGAAACUGUCAUGCUGGAGAGGCCAUGUAUAGGCAUUCCUGUCAACAGUCUCAGCUGAGCCAAGCCUUCCAGCCAUCCCUACCAAGGCAUGUCAGAGGCCAUCUUGGACCUUCCAGAUGAGCCCAUCUACCAGUUGCCUACCACUUAGGAACCUCAGUUCAUGCUGUGUGGAGGAGAAUAAUCACCUGGCUGAGCCCUGGCUGAGUUCCUGACCCAUGAAAUUGUGAGAUAUAAUAAAAUAGUCAUUAUUUAGAGACGUUAAGUAUUGGGGUGGUUUGUUACCUGGUGAUAGGUAAGUGGACCAGAGUUGUGAGGAUUAAGUGAGAUUAUAAAGCACUAAACACAGUGCCUGGAACACAGCAAGUACUCAAUAUAUGUUCGCUCUUAUCAAUGUUAUAAUGAUUCUCAUUCUUCCUUCCAAACCAUGUCCUUUAUACCAAGGACCGUGUCCAGCAUUCAUCUUUCAACAAGGACUUAUUGAAUGCCUAAUCUGCAUAUCACUUUGAGCUGGGUGCUCCCAUAUCACAGCUGGCUGAUGGACCACGUCCUUGAAGAUUGAGCUCUGAAUGCACAUUCUUUGGGACGCUGUUUGUAAGUCGCCCUACCUGGUUCAGUCAGUUCUCUGUGGCAGUCCUUUCUGCUUUCUAUGCACACAAUUUGCACUGUAUUAAUUUACAUUGGUGGAUAUGUUGCUUUAUAGGUGAUGUACAGAUAUUUUGUGUACUUGUGACUUGUCUUCCCAAUAAGAGUGUCAACAUCUUGAGGGCUGGGAUCUUGAAUUCAGGGUCCUUUGUCUUCCCGCACAGGGCCUUUAGUGGGGCCAAGUGCCUGAAAAUAUUUGGAUAAUUUGGAAUUCUCAAUAAAAGUUCCUGGAAUUCUGGAGCAACUUAUGUAAACCUGAAGGGAAAGAAAUAUCCUAUCUUUUGUGAAAUUCCUGAUUAUCUAGAGAUGAAUCCUUAAAGAAGACCAUGGAGACCAGAGAUCUGGCCUUGAAUAUGUUCUUCUUUUCAUAUAUUCUCUAUGUUGUUUCUUUAGAACCGAGGCUUCUUUAGGAUGGUAGAAACUUCUUUUGUGAAUUUCAGUAAAGGCAUUUUUGGCUGGCCCAUUUGGGGACUAGAUGUUGCUAGAGUAGUAUAGACAACACUUCCACUCUGGCUUGUCCCUUUCCGUCUGGUGGUGUACAAGGGCUUUGUUAUUUUGCAGGAAGAGAGGAAUUUUUGAUCGGAGGUAGGGACCAGGAAUCAAGGCCACAGAAUAGGGAAGGAAUAGUGUGAGUGUUCCCCCUUCCAGCCCUCUGCACUGUGUUUGAGUCCCUAUGGUUAGAGAAGUGGAGGCCUUAAACGGAUGGGAUUCAUUAGAGACUUGGAAACAUUCCAUGCAAGUGAAAGGAGCUGCUUAAGAGAGACUUUGCCAAACUCUGGGCACAAGCAGAGGUGCCUGAGGCUCCAGGGGACAAAAUGUGGCACAGAAUGCGGCAGGAAGCUAUUCUCCUUGCCUCUGCCCAGAAUCUGACAAUAUUCCUACAUACUUCCCCUGAUGGGAAGCAAGCAUCAUCAGGCUCAGGCCAUCGUGCUUUUCCAAUAUAUAAAGGAUAUAGAACUUUGAAGUCAUGCGCUGUUGAGCCCUGGAGACGCGGGAACACCUUUGUUGUGACUAGCUUUCAUUGGGAUACAUUAUCUCUUGAUUCAGAAAAUAUGAGCUAUUGUUGGAAAUGGAACCUGAAUUUUGGUUAAGACGUUUCUUUUUUCCUACUAAAAUGUAUGAUUAUUAUCAUUAACGUAAUUUUAUAUUGUUUAGAACUGUGGUCUUUAUGGGUUUAUAUUGGAAACAGCUUGGUGGAUGCAGGAUGUUUUUAGUCAUUAAAGGAUAGACUAUUGUUUAUUGAGUGGACUGUCGGUUCCAUUCAUACCUGGCCUUCAUCUCAACAGCAGGGCACACAAUUCAUUGGUGUGACUCUUAGAAGUGAGAUCAAGUGAUCCCAUACCCGCUGUCAGCUCUAAACCCCACCUAAAAUGUCUUUUAGUGCACAGUAAAUAUAACUGAUGAGAGUCUCAAUGCUGUAAUUUAGAAGAGCUAGAUUUAACACAAAAUCUGUUGUUUUACAUGCCAGUAAUCUCCUUCAUGGAACUUUAGAGCAAGCCAGGGCAGGAACAAGGGUAGGGAAGAUUGGAAAGUUAAAAAGAAAACACUUACCUGAAUCACACAGUUAGAAAAUUGCAAGAAAAUGCUGGUUGAACUUUCCUCAUCACUAGAAAGAAAAAUAAAUAAUGAAAAUUAACAUAAAGACACGAAGAGCUAAUUUUCAAUUUCAAUUCGUCUUUCUGAAUGAUGCUUCUUUGGUCUUUUAUGAAGGAUAAAUUACAUUUGAAAUGAAAUCUUUUAAAUGAGUUAUCUUUUGGGUCGUUACUUUGCACACCGUUAAAAUGCAUUUUACUGGUUUGUGGGGGGUGGGGUAGAAAGAUGAAUUCUGAAGAAGUUGAGAGGAAAAUAAUUUCAGGAGGUAAUGGAUGAACUUGCUCUGGAAGAUUAAUCAGGGCAGCGGCAAGAGAGUGCCACAUGCAUAACGGGAGUAGAACUAAGUAUCUGAUUGUAAUUAAAACUUUAGGUUUCUAAUGGCUGCAUGAAAGAUAUUUUAAUAAACGUGAAAUGCACUUUCUAAAUGGCACGCUAACUUUUAAUGACUUGGGUGUUUUGUUUGAUUAGUAACCUGGACUGUUAAAUUAAAGCCAACUGCAAGUGCAUGAUAAAAUAUUGAUGGUUUCAGGCAAGUGAAUUGGGGGAGUUAUGCUUGAUAGGUUUUUUGUAUCAUUAAGGAUUUUAACUGGUGGAAAAUAUAUAUUGCUGGUGCUUAAAGAUAGUUAAAGAGGAUCUUCUUGUUUAUAUGACCUCGUUUUAAUUUUACAGUAAUAAUAAGGGGGAAAUCUGAAUUAUUCACAGAUGGUUGGUCAAGAGAGGUCACUUAAUUAAAAAAGUGUUAUUUUAAUUACACCUGUUUCACAUUCCUGGAAUAGGAAAUUAAAUAUUUUGAAGCAUUUGAUUAUUUCUGUUUCACAGAGUACCUGGACUUCUGCUGACUCUGAUGAAGACCUGAGAUAGUUGUGUGUAAGGCUUUCAUUUCUUGUUAGGAGGGAGUUUUGCUUUAAGAAACAAGAUUUUAAAAAUAAUUUUUUCAUUGAUAGUUUUAGAAAUAAUAAAAGAAGACAUAAUUUUAUGGAUAUAUGCACACAUAUAUAUAUAUGGAGAGAGAGAGAGUAUAUUUUUGUAUAUGCAGGACAAUUCUAGAAGGAUAUGUAAGAAAAUAUGAGGCGUGGUUAUUUCUAGGGAGUUGAGCUGGGAGUCGAAAGAGUGAGAGAUUUUAUUUCUUACUUUAUUCUUUUUGGGAAAUAGAAUAUGUUUUACAAUGAGAAUGCCUUAGUUUUACAAAAAAUUUUCCCUUUGAAACCCAGAUUUAUCUUUUAACAACUCAAUUUUUCCUUUUCAUGUCUCUGUCCCCAUAAUUGAAUUUUCUUGAUUCUGACAGAUGAUGUGGUUACUUUUAAGCAGCUUUUUUCAUUGGAUCAGGUAAGUUCCCUUCCUUCCUUCUGUCCCUCCAACCAUUCAUCCACCCUCAGAUAUUUAGUGUUUAGUGCCUCUGACUGCUUUUUAUAGCCUAAAUAAAAGUACCUCUUUGAAGGAGAGACCCCAGCAGCAUUCUCAAGGUAGCUUUCCCUCUGAUGGGACUUUGGGUGAGUGAAGAAAGAAAAAAGGUGAAACUUUGAGAAGAUGGAGGAAUUUUGCAGAUGAUGUUAGAACAAUGAUUCAGGGUGGCCUGGCUCUGUGUAUCUACAUAGUCCCUCACAUAGAAGGAAAACACUAGUGUCUUCUCAGUUAACGAGAGACUUGCACAGUGCCAGAAGGACACCUUGAGGAGUAGUCAUAGACAAGCCUCCUCAUAAAGGAAAGAGCCAGCUAUUCCCAGGGUUCUGAUCUUUGGGUGCCUCAGAAACGUAGCUGGUGUGAGGUUGAAAAGGCACAGGGAGAUUCUUGGACAGUC